AGAUACCCGUGUAGUCCCAGCCGUAAACUAUGCUCGCUAGGUGUCAGGCAUGGCGCGACCGUGUCUGGUGCCGCAGGGAAGCCGUGAAGCGAGCCACCUGGGAAGUACGGCCGCAAGGCUGAAACUUAAAGGAAUUGGCGGGGAGCACCACAACGGGUGGAGCCUGCGGUUUAAUUGGACUCAACGCCGGGAAGCUCACCGGAUAAGACAGCGGAAUGAUUGCCGGGCUGAAGACUCUGCAUGACUAGCUG
rnacentral:rRNA from 1 species